rnacentral:rRNA from 1 species
ACGCUCGACACCUACGGGAUGCAGCAGUGGGGGAUAUUGCACAAUGGGGGGAACCCUGAUGCAGCGACGCCGCGUGAGGGAAGAAGGUUUUCGGAUUGUAAACCUCUGUCCUCAGGGAAGAAGAUGACGGUACCUGAGGAGGAAGCCACGGCUAACUACGUGCCAGCAGCCGCGGUAAUCUGAGCGGGCUGGCAAGGC